rnacentral:lncRNA from 1 species
AAGUUCAAUUUUUCAUUUUCUCAAAUAUAUUUAGAACUCUUUUUUAUCAUACAUAUACAAAUAAUUUUUACACACAUGCAUAAAUAGCGUAUGAACAUAUUGUACAGUGGUGUGUGUGUACGUGCUGUUUUGUGAAAAUAUAUAUAUCUCAACUGUCUUUCCAUCCUGAAUAUGUCAUUAGCAUUUUAAAAAUUAUAAUCAUAAUCAUAACUUCUUUUACACUAGUAUUUUAAAUGACUGUGUAGCAAUACUCUUCCACGGCUGGGCCUGAACAUUCAGCUUGUUUCCAGUCUUUUACGGUGUCAUCCUAAACAUCCUUGCACGGAUGGUCAUUGCCUCAGAACAUAAGCCUAGAGGUGUAAUUUCUGGAUCUUACAUCCUGAAAAUUUUGCAAAUGUAGCAUGUUAACCAGAUCAUCCUUCUGAGAGGUUGGGUCAGUGAAUGCUUGCUUGCCUGAACUUUUAUGGAUGUUACUUCCUGUCCUCUUUUCUACAACAGGUUUUUUUUUUUUUUUAAUGGCAAUCUUGUUGAUUUGAUAGAGUCUCGCUUCGUUGAUGGUACUUUUUUCAUAUAUUUAUGGUACAGUUAUAUUUUUUCUUGAGAGAGAGAGAGAAUUUUUUAAUAUUUAUUUUUUAGUUUUCGGCAGACACAACAUCUUUGUAUGUGGUGCUGAGGAUCGAACCCGGGCCGCACACAUGCCAGGCAAGGGCGCUACCACUUGAGCCACAUGCCCAACUUGGUACAGUUAUAUUUUGUGUCCUUUUCUUCUGCCUCCUUUUGUAUUAUACCAAUUGUUUUUUUUUUUCUAUCAGUUUAUCAGCAUUCUUUGUUGUACACAUGGUUUCUUACACCAUUUUGGUAUAGUGUGAUUUGAUGUCUGGAAGUUUUAAACUUUUCUGUAGUCUUGAUAGGAAAAAGAUUUUUGAGUGCAAGGGAUGUUUCUAUCAAAACUCUAUUUUCGGUGGCUGGGGUUGCGGCUCAGUGGUAGAAUGCUUGCCUAGCACAUGUGAGACACUGGGUUCAAUCCUUAGCACCACAUAAAAAUAAAGAUAUUGUAUCCACCUAAGACAAAAAAAUAUUUUAAAAAAAGUUUAUUUUCGGGCUGGGGUUGUGGCUCAGUGGUAGAGUGCUUGCCUAGCAUAUGUAAGGUACUGGGUUUGAUUCUCAGCACCACAUAUAAAUAAAUAAAAUAAAGGUACAUUGACAACUAAAAAAAUUUUUUAAGAAAGUUUAUUUUCUCACCCUGUGUGGUAUUAUUGUUUUCUAGAAGAAAGGAAAGGUAACUACUCAAUUUUAGUUUAAUCCUCUCAGAAGAGUGUUAGGUUAUUAUAAUUUAUAUACAGGCCUGGUGGUGCAUAUCUGUAAUCCCAGUGACUCAGGAGACUGAGGCAGGAGGAUCACAAGAUCAAGGCCAGCCUCCGCAAUGUAAUGAGACCCCAUCUCAAAAACUUAGGCUGGGGCUAUAGCUCUGUGGUAGACUGCCCCUGAGUUCAAUCCCUAGUACCACCCCCCCCCCAAAAAAAAAUUAUAAACUUCUUUCUUUUUUUUUUUUU